rfam:Acyrthosiphon pisum strain LSR1 Contig39324, whole genome shotgun sequence.
AAAAUGGUCCUUUUCAGGACCACUAACAAUAGAGAAUAGCACGCGA